rnacentral:SRP_RNA from 2 species
GCCGGGCGUGGUGGCGGGCGCCUGUAAUCCCAGCUACUCGGGAGGCUGAGGCAGGAGAAUUGCUUGAGUCCAGGAGACGGAGGUUGCAGUGAGCCAAGCUCGUGCCACUGCACUCCAGCCUGACCAACAGAGCGAUACCCUGUCUCAA